rnacentral:rRNA from 1 species
GACGGAAGGUGCAAGCGUUGCUCGGAAUCACUGGGCGUAAAGGGUGCGUAGGCGGCCGCGCAAGUCUGGCGUGAAAGCCCCGGGCUCAGCCCGGGAAGGGCGCUCGAAACGGCGCGGCUCGAGUGCCGGAGGGGAGAGUGGAAUUCCUGGUGUAGCGGUGAAAUGCGUAGAUAUCAGGAGGAAUACCGGUGGCGAAAGCGACUACCUGGCCUGUUCUUGACGCUGAGGCGCGAAAGCUAGGGGAGCAAACGGG